rnacentral:rRNA from 1 species
GACGAACCGUGCGAACGUUGUUCGGAAUCACUGGGCUUAAAGGGCGCGUAGGCGGGCCAUCUGGUCUGGGGUGAAGCUCCGGCUCAACCGGAAUAACGCCCCCGAUACCGGUGGUCUGGAGGCGGGCAGGGGCGCGUGGAACUCCCGGUGGAGCGGUGAAAUGUGUUGAGAUCGGGAGGAACGCCGGCGGCGAAAGCGGCGCGCUGGGCCCGUCCUGACGCUGAGGCGCGAAAGCCAGGGGGAGCGAACGGA